AACGAACGCUGGCGGCAGGCUUAACACAUGCAAGUCGAGCGGGCACCUUCGGGUGUCAGCGGCGAACGGGUGAGUAACGCGUGGGAACGUGCCCUUUCCUCCGGAAUAGCCUCGGGAAACUGAGAUUAAUGCCGGAUACGCCCUUUUGGGGAAAGAUUUAUCGGGGAAGGAUCGGCCCGCGUUGGAUUAGGUAGUUGGUGGGGUAAUGGCCUACCAAGCCGACGAUCGAUAGCUGGUCUGAGAGGAUGAUCAGCCACACUGGAACUGAGACACGGUCCAGACUCCUACGGGAGGCAGCAGUAGGGAAUAUUGGACAAUGGGGGCAACCCUGAUCCAGCCAUGCCGCGUGAGUGAAGAAGGCCCUCGGGUUGUAAAGCUCUUUUGUCCGGAAAGAAAGCAAUCGGUUAAUACCCGGUUGUUCUGACGGUACCGGAAGAAUAAGCACCGGCUAACUUCGUG
rnacentral:rRNA from 1 species